ACUCCAGUCGUUUCAAUCGAGAUAGCAUCUAGUCUCCCAAACAACACCUAUUUCAACAAUGUCUUCAGAAAUUCCUUCUUUUAUCAGGAAGCCGCAGAAACUCUCUUUGUCCGUCGCCAGAGGCUGCACUCAGUUGGAGGCUUCUCUCUCCUGCUACUCCACUGUCUGUCCCAUAUCAAAAUUAAAGACAUGAGCUCUGACUCCAGUUCUGCCUUCCAGAGACUUUUUUUCAAGGUGCAAACACACUAAGUGUGCAUGAAUUAAAUGGUUUUUUUUUCUAUUUGAUAUAAAAAAGGCCUUUAAUGAGCUUUGAUUUGGCUUUAAAGCCAAACUUUACAUUUCAGGUUACCUAUUGUUUGAUUCUAGGUUGGAUGACUUUUGCUCUAUGACAGUGUUUGUUACACUAAUUUAAUUUACUUCAUGCCAUGUCACAGGUUCUCCAGGAAUGUCUGGGUGAGCUCUUUCAGGCUAGACUGGGUGCCUCUUCAUCUGAACAGGAUGCCAGUUUGUGUGUUUGGUAUCAGAACCAAGAUGCUUCAACAAAAACCAUGAGUGAGACUUGGUGUGGUUCUCAUGCUGCCUCACUGCUUCAGAGACUUCACAAACCAAGCAGAGGAUUGCUCUCUGAAGAUGAAGUUGAGAAACUUCAGAGGAAGCACAGAGAAACAUCUUUAUUCUCUCAUCUUGAAGAACUUCUGAGAGAGAAGAGUUCUGAAGCCACAGAAAAAGCUGAAGACCAGCCUGGUUGAACAUAGUGCAUGGGUUUCACGGUUUCAUGAAAAUGUUAAAUAUAUAGGAAAAUCUCAAAUCUAUUUAAGAAAUAAAUACAAUAAAGACAGACAAAAUUUACUAUGUGUCUGACAAACUGUGCAUUUAUUAUAAUGCCAUCUGAAGGGGUUGUACAAACAGAAAAACAAAUCUCCAAAAAUAAAAUUGUAAACGGUAAAUGCAAUGAGACCAACAAUAACAGUAUCAACAAUAAAACAAUAAAAAGUUCAUAUUGUGUUUUAUGACGCCAAAUUUUUGGGGGGUUAAAUAUUUAUUUUUUUCCUCCUCAGCUUUCUUCAAGAGAUUACUUGAAAAAAAAAAUCUAAGCAAAUUAAGCAAUAAAUCCAAAAAAUCAAGUUUAUGCACAUGAAAAUCAAAACUUAAUUGAGGUUUCUCAUUUGUUCGUAUUUUUGGCUUGCACCAUGAAAGCAAAGAAUUGUUCUGCUUUUUAUUGGUAACGUAAACGCCACACAUAAAGACGUCAGUCCAUAUGGUGAAUGCUGAAAAGCGAAAGCAGAGGGCAUAAAAUGGCUGGGAUUGCAGUGCGCCUUCUGGGAAAUACCAGAACCUUCACUUUGGUUCAGUUAAUUUGAUGGAGACAUAAAUGAUGAUAAUAAUUAUUCCACAGAUGAGUCCGGCGAUGUUCAGCAUCUUGGCUGUUUGUGAUGCAUCUUGAGCUCUGUCAAUGUCUCCGCGUCCAUUUGCCGACUCUACCUUUAAAAGACAACAAUCAAAACGAUUCAAUUUAAUUUCAGUUUUCUAGAAGAGAGUUCACUUGAAGUAAAAAAUUAAAGUGCUGCUGAGCAAUUUAGUUUUACUUUUGGGACACAACUGAAGUAACAGUUGUUUAAUCCCAGCAAACCAGACUUUUUUUAAUCGAUGCCCCAGUAAUAUUUUUUUUUAAUAAAAUGUAAAUUAUUUUUCCGUCCACUGUCACUUUCAAUAUAUCUUAUUUAGAAAAUAUAUUAUGCUGCAGAAUACUAAAAAUUGGUUUGAAUGCUGCGCAUCAUAGUGCAGGAGUACAUAUAAAAAAAGUUUAGUGUUCAGUAUAUAUUACCUACCUUGCUAGAAUAGAUAAUAGCUGCAAUCCCGAGAGGCAGACAACAGCAAAAAGUAUUAAAGAUGGACCAUCCAAGAUAGGAUGAAGGAGGAGGAUGAGUUUGGCGUAUUUCCAUUGUAUCCCUCUGUCAACUUCAAGUUGAUGACAACUAUGAUUCACUGGCAAAUGUCUGUAUUAAGUGGCUGGUGGGGGUUGUGACUCGCAUCAUUUUAUCGGGGAAAGUGCAGGGUGUGGUUUGAGUGAAUAUUCAGUGUUGACGAAUGAACUGUAUUAUCUUCAUCAUUGUGAUAUGAACAUAUCACAGCGAAGACAGCCCAAAGGAUGUUUUCCCCCACAUUUAAUAUGCACACAUAUGACCUAUUACACUGAGCCCUUGAUACAUCAGAUUUAUUACAGGGUGUUCCACAAACCUCGUAAGCUUUAGUCAACUCUAUUUCAUAGCACCUGGCUUUAAGUUUACCAAACACGCGUUAAAUAUAAGUAUAUUGUUACUUUCUGUCUCUUUCGACUGUUUCUUCAUGCUGUUCUAUCGUUAUUUAAGUUGAUCAAACCACGAAGGAAGAUAAUUCAAAUGGUCCUGUCCCACAUUCAGUGAUUUCAGUUCGGUUCAAUUCAAUUCAGUUUUAUUUAUUAAGUUUCAAAUCACAACAGCAGUCGCCUCAAAGCGCUUUGUGCUCUAAGGUAAAGAUCUUAUGUCAAUACAGAGAAAACCUCAACAAUCAGACGCCCCCCCUGGCAACAGUAGCAACGAAAAACUCCCUUUUAACUGGAAGAAAACUCCCGCAGAACCAGGGUCCUUCAUGGACCUCUGUCCCGCUGUACAUCUCCUCUGUCUAUCUUGAGUGUGUGUGUGUGUGUGUGUUUUGGUUUUUGGUCAGAAGCGGGACUCGGCCUGAGUUUCUUCUUAGAUUGUUCAAAGAGUGCUGUCAUGACAGAGCUGCCGAGGACCUGGGUUUGAAGUCACACCCAGAUCUGUGUUGAGGAGUUUUAAACAAAAUUCAGAGUGACAGUAGCUCUAAACCUGACGGUGCAGCUCAUAGACUAUUUAUUCUCAGGUACGGGAAGCAAAACAUGGCAGAUUUUUCCAUUGAUUUUUUGAUUUUGGCAGAGGAGAAUGGUUGGUAGAAGAAUGCAU
rnacentral:lncRNA from 1 species